rnacentral:lncRNA from 1 species
AAAAAAAAAAAAAAUUGUUCACCAAGUUUCGAAAACCAUUGAAACCUUCAAGGAUAUUCCAAACCCAUUCAACGACUCAAUGGUUUUUAAUAAGCCUCACAUGCUUUUCCAGAUCAAUGCAUCACUAUUUUUCGCAUAGGCUAUAACUAUGUAAAAUCUAGUCAUGCAAAUCUAAUCAAAACUGUAAUAGUCACUAGUGCAAAAAUGUUGUUUAACGUCACCCAAAAGACGUCGGCUAUAGGGCAGCCUGACGUAUAUUAAUGGAUGGUGG